AAGGAGUCUAACAUCUACGCGAGUAUUUGGGUGGUAAACUCUUAUUCGUAAUGAAAGCGAAAAGGAGGGAUCUGCAUAUAGUGCACCCUCCACCGCCCCAGAUUAUUGCUAUCUCGGUGUGAGUAUGAGCAUAUCUGUUGGGACCCGAAAGAUGGUGAACUAUGCCUGAAUAGGGUGAAGCCAGAGGAAACUCUGGUGGAGGCUCGUAGCGGUUCUGACGUGCAAAUCGAUCGUCAAAUUUGGGUAUAGGGGCGAAAGACUAAUCGAACCAUCUAGUAGCUGGUUCCCUC
rnacentral:misc_RNA from 1 species